GAGCUCCGAGGACGGAGACGCCGUCGCCGGAACAAAGUCCCGGAGUCAGUUUCCGUCUCGGUCAGGAUUUUAUUGUUGUGCUUCGAACAUUACGGUGCUGAGCGGUCCGAUACAAAACAAAAUCGUUUUGGAAGUUAAAGCAUCACAGUACUCCCUCAGAAACAGCAGCAGACCCCGCCGCCCAGGUUGGGGGCAUUGCCGCGCGCUAAGGGAUGCCCGAGCUCCUGACUCCCACGGAAAGAAAAGACAAUACUUGAAGUAACCAGAUGUCAGAGAAAUAAAAGGAAAGCUGAUAAUUUGGCAAAGUUACAGCCUCCACAGAAUUAGAAUUCAAAUGGUUUCAGAGCCUGACUUUCCACCUCUGUGGUUGUUCUGUACCCACUGGACUGCAAGGAGGAAAGGCGGCUGCAAGUGCGGUGGGAAGGAAUGCGGUGAUGUACUACAGGUUACCAUCCCUAAGGGCGCUGGGCUCACGGCAGUAGCGCAGCCGCAAGUGUCCCGAGACAUCAAACACGAAGAAAAAGCUCGGCAAAGUUACUAAAGU